UCCCACAGAGCGGCGGAGCGGAGAGGGCGGGUGCGCGGGCGUUGCGCAGAGCCCGCCGGGACCUGGAGUCCUCGGCUGGACUCGGCGGUGGGGGCAGAGGUUGCAGACGCCCGCUCGGGGAGGCCGCUGGGCGGAGCCUUGCGGGGCAGGGCGGGGCGGCACCCCUCUGGGGCGGGGCUCUGGCCCCUAUUGGAACCUAGUGUUAGGACAGGAAAACGGCCAGUGGUUUCCAGUAAACCCGCGCUCUACAAGACUACCGGCGGGCGAGGGAUGGGAGCUCCGCCCACAGCAGCCCGCGGGUGACAGCAGUCUGCUCAGCCGCCGACGCCCACCCUACUCUGCGAAAGGAGCAGCAGCUGGCGGAAAGAGCUAUUUUCAUCUCCAUCUCCUCUCCUAGACGUUUGCGAAUGCAUCAUCCUCCCGGAUGUAAACUCAGGGUUGUUUCUAAAUUCCCCUAAACUGGAGCUCUCUAUUGGGUCUCUUCCUUGGUCAGAAGUGAGUUACACAUCGAUCCCCAUUACCGCCAAAAGAAAAAAGAAGAGAACAAGAAAUGAGCUGCUUGUGUGCAGGAUCCGCUCUUUAAAUUGACUAAAUGCUAUUAAAUGAAUGCGAGCCAUCAAGCUUUCUUGUUCUUUACAUAAUGCUGGCCACAGAGCUAGAUCUCCUGGGACAAAAUUCUUGUCUGCCAGGAAGCCUUCUAAUCUCAUAAGUAUGCAUAGAUAUAGGCCGUCCUGUGCCAGCGAGGCCCAGGCCUGUUCCUGGGGGAGUUCUUUCCAAUGCGAUGUCUAGACCGUUUAUGCUGUCAGUGCUAAGGCAGAGGUGCUGGAGCAGAUACGAGAAUCACUGCCAAAUGAGGAUUUAUGGCAGUUUUGCACUAUUAAUAGCUGUGGGCACUGGCAAGCAAAACACGCCAAAGGAAGUGCAGCCUGUCCUUAGAGAGCAAGGCUGGAGGGGCCAAGCUCCUGGAAAGAUAUGUGCAUCGCAGAGUAUCUUUACCGGACACUGCAUAGGAAAACCUGGACAGUCUCACACACCUUGCCUGUCCACACCAAAGUAGCAGAAAAAUGAAACUUAGCUGCUGCCUGGAGCAAGGGUUUUCUUCCAGGGGCUAGAGGAGAGGACAGAGCAAGGUUGAGGGACAAGCCUCCAGAAUGAGGACCCACUGGGGGACAGAUGAAUCCUCAGAGUGGAAGAGAAAAGAAGAACCACCCCACUGUGGGCCAGGAAGCUGCCCUGGAGCAGGCCCAGGUCACCAUUGCCCAAGCAUUACUGACUAAGAUGCAAGCACCGGCAUGUGUUGAAUUUACAUUUAAAUAAGUAAUAUCAAAUACAAUGCAAAAUCCUG